rnacentral:rRNA from 1 species
UACAGAGGGUGCAAGCGUUGUUCGGAAUUAUUGGGCGUAAAGCGCGUGUAGGCGGCUUGGCAAGUCGGGUGUGAAAUCCCUCAGCUUAACUGAGGAAGUGCGCCCGAAACUGCCGAGCUUGAGUACCGGAGAGGGUGGCGGAAUUCCCCAAGUAGAGGUGAAAUUCGUAGAUAUGGGGAGGAACACCAGUGGCGAAGGCGGCGAUCUGGGAAGAUACUGACGCUGAGGUGCGAAAGCGUGGGGAGCAAACAGG